AAUGAACGUUGGCGGCAUGGAUUAGGCAUGCAAGUCGAGCGAGGAGAGUUUUGAAGCUUGCUUUAGAACUCGGACAGCGGCGAAAGGGAGAGUAACGCGUAGUUAUGUUCCCUAGGGUCCGGAAUAGCCACGGGAAACUGUGGGUAAUGCCGGAUAACAUCCCCGGAUCAAAGGUGUGAUUCCGUCCUAGGAGCAGACUGUGUCCUACUAGCUAGUUGGUGGGGUAAUGGCCCACCAAGGCAAUGAUGGGUAGCGGGUGUGAGAGCGUGACCCGUCUCACUGGGACUGAGACACUGCCCAGACACCUACGGGUGGCUGCAGUCGAGAAUCUUCGGCAAUGGGCGAAAGCCUGACCGAGCGAUGCCGCGUGCGGGAUGAAGGCCCUCGGGUUGUAAACCGCUGUCGUAGGGGAGGAAGGUUCCGUGAAGAGCGGAAUUUGACCUAUCCUAGGAGGAAGUACGGGCUAAGUUCGUGC
rnacentral:rRNA from 1 species